rnacentral:rRNA from 1 species
GUCUACGGCCAUGCUACCCUGAACAAGCCCAAUCCCAUCUGAUCCCGGAAGCUAAGUAGGGUCGGGCCUGGUUAGUGCUUGGAGGGAGACCACCUAGGAAGACCAGGUGCUGUAGGCA